AUGGCGCUCGGGCUCGCCGCUCUGCGCGUCCUGCUGGGUGGCUUCUUCGCGCUCACGGGGGCGGCCAAGCUCUCGGGGCAGAUCUCGGCUCCAGCGUCAGAGCAGAUGAAAGCCCUGUUUGUGCAGUUUGCUGAGGUGUUCCCGCUGAAGGUGUUCGGCUAUCAGCCAGAUCCUAUGGGCUAUCAAGAGGCUGUGGGCUGGCUGGAACUGCUGGCUGGGCUGCUGCUGGUCCUGGGCCCACCGAUGCUGCAAGAGAUCAGUAACUUGCUUUUGACCCUGCUCAUGAUGGAACCAGGAGCCCUCCCUGCUGUACUCUAUUUUCCAUGGCCUUUGGACUAGGACAGGACCUGCUGAUGUACCAAGACAGCUGCUGCUUCAAAGGUCAGACGUCUUCAGACUCUUCUGGAUCCCCUGGCCUUGUGUCACCAUUGCUGCCACCACUGCCACCCCUCCCCCCCGGACUUGCUUUCCAUCUCUGGGGCUUCCCUCAUUUUCGGAUCUUUCCCAUACCUCCACCUUCCCUCCGGAGCCAUCUUCACUCUGGCAUCUCUGAAAGAGUCACCGAACACCUACAUCCCAGCAAUCAUCUGCCUGGGGCUCCUGCUGCUGCUGGAUAUCUGCCAGCUCUGAGUCCAAACUAAGAAGGUGGUCAGACCCACUAGGAAGAAGACUCUUGCAAGUGCAUUCAAGGAGUCCUGGGAGUCCUUUUUUCUCUUCAUGCCACAUCACUAUCACGGCAGGAGCAUGGUGGAACGCAGAGUCUGCCACCUUCUCUCCAGUGCAUCCAGGGCUGUUCAGUGUUGAAGUAGACAUCUUCUCUACCUGACCCUGCUUUCUCUCUGAGACAUUCACUGCUCUUUUUUGAGGAGCACGUGUUGCACAUACUGUCAUUCCUCAUGUAAUGUGGAAAUAGAAAACAGAAAAGCAAUUUAAAUCACCUCAAAAUUUAAUGCACCAAAAAUAACCACUAUCCACUCCUUUUUAAUAACUGUACCUCAACUCUUACUAUGCCUUUGUACAGAUGUUUUUAAUGAAAAUGAGGCAAUUAUAAAUUACUUUAUUAAAUGUCUUUUAAAACUAA